rnacentral:rRNA from 1 species
CAGUAGCCGCGGUAAUACGGAGGGAGCUAGCGUUGUUCGGAAUUACUGGGCGUAAAGCGCGCGUAGGCGGUUACUCAAGUCAGAGGUGAAAGCCCGGGGCUCAACCCCGGAACUGCCUUUGAAACUAGGUGACUAGAAUCUUGGAGAGGUCAGUGGAAUUCCGAGUGUAAAGGUGAAAUUCGUAGAUAUUCGGAAGAACACCAGUGGCGAAGGCGACUGACUGGACAAGUAUUGACGCUGAGGUGCGAAAGCGUGGGGAGCAAACAGGAUUAGAUACCCCAGUAGUCCCUGUCUCUUAUAC